CUCAAGUGAAACUGACUCUGCUAGAACAGUGCCGUGCUUUUCCACAGAAGGUUAAACCCUGAGAGAGAUGGCUCAGCACCACCUAUGGAUCUUGCUCCUUUGCCUGCAAACCUGGCCGGAAGCAGCUGGAAAAGACUCAGAAAUCUUCACAGUGAAUGGGAUUCUGGGAGAGUCAGUCACUUUCCCUGUAAAUAUCCAAGAACCACGGCAAGUUAAAAUCAUUGCUUGGACUUCUAAAACAUCCGUUGCUUAUGUAACACCGGGAGACUCAGAAACAGCACCCAUAGUUACUGUGACCCACAGAAAUUAUUAUGAACGGAUACAUGCCUUAGGUCUGAACUACAAUCUGGUCAUUAGCGAUCUGAGGAUGGAAGAUGCAGGAGACUACAAAGCAGACAUAAAUACACAGGCUGAUCCCUACACCACCACUAAGCGCUACAACCUGCAAGUCUAUCGUCGGCUUGGGAAACCAAAAAUUACACAGAGUUUAAUGGCAUCUGUGAACAGCACCUGUAAUGUCACACUGACAUGCUCUGUAGAGAAAGAAGAAAAGAAUGUGACAUACAAUUGGAGUCCCCUGGGAGAAGAGGGUAAUGUCCUUCAAAUCUUCCAGACUCCUGAGGACCAAGAGCUGACUUACACGUGUACAGCCCAGAACCCUGUCAGCAACAAUUCUGACUCCAUUUCUGCCCGGCAGCUCUGUGCAGACAUCGCAAUGGGCUUCCGUACUCACCACACCGGGUUGCUGAGCGUGCUGGCUAUGUUCUUUCUGCUUGUUCUUAUUCUGUCUUCAGUGUUUUUGUUCCGUUUGUUCAAGAGAAGACAAGGUAGGAUUUUCCCAGAAGGUAAAAUGUGGAAACUCACCUUCUCUCCUCCUGGGAAUGACACCAUUUAUCCAAGGUUUAGCUGAAAGGUCCAUUGUUCCAGGGGAUCUGCCUUCUUCCAAUCUCCACCCCACCACCUCCCAGAAUGAUGGCUCUGAGGAUGGUAUGACAUUACCCUGAAUGGUCUUCAGAAUCCAUUCCUGAGAUCACCAGCAUCUGGUGGGCCCAGAACAUGGGUUUGAGCUUAGUACGUACAUGAACAAGCUGUGCUUCACUGUACGAGUGUGUUCACCUUUCCAGCUCAGGGCCCUCACAUGUGAAAUGUUUGGACUAGAGGAUCUCCAGGGUCACUUCCAAUUUCAUUGUAUUUUGAUAAUGACUAUUGGAGAGUCAUUGAGAAACAUAUACUAAUCCUGUACUCCAUGGUUGUCACUAGGUCCCUCUGAAUCCCUCUGGAUCAUUCUGUAGUUGCGC
rnacentral:sRNA from 1 species